rnacentral:misc_RNA from 1 species
AACGCACAUUGCGCCCGCCAGUAUUCUGGCGGGCAUGCCUGUUCGAGCGUCAUUUCAACCCUCAAGCCCCCGGGCUUGGUGUUGGAGAUCGGCGAGCCCCCCGGGGCGCGCCGCCUCCCAAAUAUAGUGGCGGUCUCGCUGUAGCUUCCUCUGCGUAGUAGCACACCUCGCACUGGGAAACAGCCUGGCCACGCCGUUAAACCCCCCACUUCUGAAAGGUUGACCUCGGAUCAGGUAGGAAUACCCGCUGAACUUAA